rnacentral:rRNA from 1 species
UACAGAGGGUGCAAGCGUUAGUCGGAGUUACUGGGCGUAAAGGGCGUGUAGGCUGAUAUCUUAGUCGAUUGUGAAAUCCCUGGGCUUAACCUAGGAAUUGCAGUCGAUACUGGAUUUCUUGAGUAUGGUAGAGGAAGGCGGAAUUCUCGGUGUAGUGGUUAAAUACGUAGAUAUCGAGAAGAACAUCAGUGGCGAAGGCGGCCUUCUGGACCAAUACUGACGCUGAGGCGCGAAAGCGUGGGGAG